GGAGACGAGGGCGGCCCAUUGGUGUGCGAUGACCGAAUAGUUGGCAUAUAUAGUCGUCCCGUCGCUAGGAAGCAAGAAAGUUCUAACCAUACAGCCCCUCCAGUUACUUUUAUGAAGGUUUCUUCAUAUUACGACUUUAUUAAACAGGCCAUAGCUUCCACAAAUGAGGAAUAAUAUUAUUCGUCAGGAAAGCUGGGGUUAACAUCUGGCAUGGAUUACGCCCAUUUGGAAAGCCACAGAACGUCAUGCGGAGAUCAGUGGAAUAAAUAUCUUCGAAUUAUUAAAAAUUAUUAAGGUGUUGUGUAAAGAGGGACAUCAAUUACUUCCACGUUGCGAUAAAAGUAGUUAAACAUAUCAGUAAUUUCCAGAGUCUGAGAAUCUUGUUGUAAGACAUGAAAAGAAGAUAUAAAAGACAUAAAAUAAUUCUUUAUUAUCAUUUAUACCUCGAAUUAUAUCUCACUUUAUGAAUUACUAUUUUGAAUGCUCAUUAGUAACAUAAUAAAUACAAUUAUACACUUAUUCAAUAAUGAAGAAAAA